GUAAACAUAAGCUACUAUUUUCCAAGUUCUCAAAGAAAAGAAAGAAAAAAAUCAUACUGCGGCAACAAUAUCACAAAAACAAGUCAUGUGGUAUAGUUUCAAGGAAGAAAGCGAGUAAGAAAGCAGGAAAACACCAGCCCAGUUUCAAACAUAAUACACAAGCAUAACAAUACUAAGUGAGGACAUUAAUUCAACAAUUGCAUCUACUCUUCUUCUUUUUUUUAAACAUGUAAUACUACUUAGAAUUGGCUAAAAUUUCCACCAAUCUCAGCAACACCUCUCAGUUUAACUAAAUGAAAGAGUAAAAUAAACGCUAAUACUUGGCUAGAUACUACAAGUUUAAGAAUAUUUCCUUUAGUUACAUUUCCAGUUUAUGAAAAUCUUAAUGGGAAAAGUGCACAAAAUUACAACCGAAUGAAAAAUACAUAACAUUAACAAUUAUGCACAAAUCUCAUACAUAAUGUGAUGGUUAAAGAGUGAAAAUUAUCAAAAUUACAACUGAUUUAAUAACAUUAACAACAAAACCGCAUACAUAACAUUAACAAUUAUGACAAAUCGUUGAGUUAGUUGCAAUUGACGUAUUUCAAUUUUCACCAUCACUAAUUCAUUGGAGUCGUUAGCGUUCGUUGGAUGAGUUGUUACAUUUAAAUGCUCGGAUGUGUCCAUUUACAACCUCCCUUGAUUAUGCAACACUCGAACAUAUUCGUCACACCAGUUGAUGAAAUUACCACAUUGCUGCAAAAUUUUGCAACCUCCCUUGGGGAAGAAUAAUAGUGUCUACCCGGAUUCUAUCAGCAGACAGGCAUAAAAAAGAUCAACAAUAAUUCCAAACUGACAUAUAAUCCAUGAAGUUUAUACAAAAGUCAUAAAAACUAACAAUUAUAGCAAAAUGACACGUGUAUCUGUAUAAAUGACAUGUGUAUCAAUUAUAAAAGUGCAAUUUUAUCUCAUCAACAAAGAGAAAUGAAACACAGACUGGACAUGCAGUUAUAUAAGAGAAGAAGAUGGAAUCACAUUUAAACUACGCCUUGACUGCUUGACAAGCCCAGAUGUGUCCAUGUCUGUUUAACAUUCAAAUCCAACUCUCCACAUUCACCUGCAAACCCAAAACUAAAGCAAAGUAAUAAAGUGACUUAAUUUCCUACCAGAUGCACAAAAUAGAACUAAAUUUGAAAAUUAAAAAAAGAAACUUUUUAAGAAGUACCUACCAGACGCACAAAGUUGAUCUUAAAUAUCACCUUAACAAUUGAAAAAGAAACUUUUUAAGAAGUAGCCAAAGUAACAGAAAAUUUUAGAACCAAAUAUCAAGUGGGAUCUCUCAAUUUAAUUUUCUACAAGGAUGCAGCAUGAUUUAACUUGUGAGGGCAGUAACAAAUAAAUACCAGGACAAUCGAGGAAUGAUAACCUCGAUAAAAAGAUGCAGCAUGAUUCAUUUUACUGUUAGUUGGACAAAGGAAUCCUUAUACUGUUUACCAAGUCGUGCUAAAAGUUUGAAGAUCACAACCCACUCAAUAGUCAUCACCUCCAUAAUUAACCAUUAAACAAAUAAAAUUGAGACUAUUUCCACUAUUUUGAUGUCAACUGUGUGACUAAGUACAUCUAUAACCAUAUAAAACAUAUACAUUUACUCUACUAUUUAACUUAAUUUCUACCAACGCCAAUGCUUUGUUCCUACUGCUAGAUAUGGAGACGAAGGUUCAGUAUUAUUGUUAUUCGUUAGGUUAGUAGAUCAAUGGAACAUAAGGAUCUUUGAUUGUUACCACUUUAAGAAUUCUAACCAAAAUGAUCUUACUUUAGGACUACAUGAUUGCUAAUAUAGACCAGCAUCCUAAACAAUCAAUUAAGCUACAAACACCAACCUCUCAAAAAACUAGCAAAAUCAUUAACAGAAUAUUACAAAAAUUCAAUAGUAAUUAUAACAAAAAAAAAACUAAAUCAAAAGGAUUUGCUUUCCUUUUUAAAAUUUCCUCUAGGGACAUGAUGUAAUAUUUGUGCCUUGGUGGCGCAUGAGAUUUUUUAUUUUGGCUCUAUAUGUACAUGAAAAAUUGAACAUGACUGAAACUGCUUUGUCUUUAACAUGUGCAGCAUAAGAGACUAUAAUCAAAAAAAUAGGCUAAUGAAACUGCAACCGGAAAUACCGUAAUGCAAACGGAAACUUUUCAGGCUAAUUUUUGAAAAAAAUAGAAAUUGUUAAUUACUUGCAUAUGAGGAGGUCGUUGUUGUAGCUCUAGAAGAUGAGGGGAUGAGAUUAGGGUUGUACAGGGCAGAAAAGGGGCAAAAGUGUAAAGGAGCAGAAAGGGACAAAAGAAAUGGAAUGCAGCGUUGAUGGAUCCGGCCUUCCGGGGUUUGCUUCACACUCGUUUUCACAGAGGGAAUUGGUGGAAAAAAUGCUCUGAUUAUCUGAAUUUGGGGAGAGAGAAUCGGGGGGAGAGAGAGGGAUUUUAUGGAAAUUAUCUGAUUCAUUUGCCCCAAAUUUGUUUCCCCUUUUUUUUGUGACCCGAGUCGUUUUUAACCCUUUUUGUGAGCGGCAUAUUUUUUUUCCUU
rnacentral:lncRNA from 1 species